AUGUUCAAUCUUCCAGAUGUCGUCGAUGCAGACCACAAUCUACAUCCGCUCGUUGACUACCUCCCAAGCUCCGCGCCGAUGUUGGAGCAGGCGCCGUCGCAACGGCGGAGCCUGAGAACACAUGUCCACCACAAGGAUGCUGCCGCAACCACGACAUCCUCGCUUCAACAGACUGGCGACGCGGACACCGCCCCACUCUCCGACGGCAGCGGCGGCAAGAAGAAGACGAUCGGCGGUCCUCUCGUGACCAGCCUGCACACGUGCGUCAAGGCGACACUCCCGCCCUUCUACUGCUGCCCGCCCGCGCCCGCGUCGGAGCCGACCAACUUCAGGCUCCCGGACCCGGCGGAGCCGCUGAGGGUCCGGCGGCCGAUGCACGCCGUGGGGGCGGAGCACAUGGCCAAGUACGAGCGCGCGAUAGCGCUGAUGAGGGCGCUGCCGCACUCCGAGCCGCGCAGCCUCUACCAGCUGGCCAACGUCCACUGCGCCUACUGCACCGGCUCCUACCGCCAGACGGGGGACCCGGAGCUCAACAUGCAGAUCCACUUCUUGUGGUUCUCUUCUUCCCGUUCCACCGCGCCGCACAAUGUCACAGGGUUUGGUUGA
rnacentral:rRNA from 1 species